GGGUUGUGAGGUUAAGCGACUAAGCGUACACGGUGGAUGCCCUGGCAGUCAGAGGCGAUGAAGGACGUGCUAAUCUGCGAUAAGCGUCGGUAAGGUGAUAUGAACCGUUAUAACCGGCGAUUUCCGAAUGGGGAAACCCAGUGUGUUUCGACACACUAUCAUUAACUGAAUCCAUAGGUUAAUGAGGCGAACCGGGGGAACUGAAACAUCUAAGUACCCCGAGGAAAAGAAAUCAACCGAGAUUCCCCCAGUAGCGGCGAGCGAACGGGGAGCAGCCCAGAGCCUGAAUCAGUGUGUGUGUUAGUGGAAGCGUCUGGAAAGGCGCGCGAUACAGGGUGACAGCCCCGUACACAAAAAUGCACAUGCUGUGAGCUCGAUGAGUAGGGCGGGACACGUGGUAUCCUGUCUGAAUAUGGGGGGACCAUCCUCCAAGGCUAAAUACUCCUGACUGACCGAUAGUGAACCAGUACCGUGAGGGAAAGGCGAAAAGAACCCCGGCGAGGGGAGUGAAAAAGAACCUGAAACCGUGUACGUACAAGCAGUGGGAGCACGCUUAGGCGUGUGACUGCGUACCUUUUGUAUAAUGGGUCAGCGACUUAUAUUCUGUAGCAAGGUUAACCGAAUAGGGGAGCCGAAGGGAAACCGAGUCUUAACUGGGCGUUAAGUUGCAGGGUAUAGACCCGAAACCCGGUGAUCUAGCCAUGGGCAGGUUGAAGGUUGGGUAACACUAACUGGAGGACCGAACCGACUAAUGUUGAAAAAUUAGCGGAUGACUUGUGGCUGGGGGUGAAAGGCCAAUCAAACCGGGAGAUAGCUGGUUCUCCCCGAAAGCUAUUUAGGUAGCGCCUCGUGAAUUCAUCUCCGGGGGUAGAGCACUGUUUCGGCAAGGGGGUCAUCCCGACUUACCAACCCGAUGCAAACUGCGAAUACCGGAGAAUGUUAUCACGGGAGACACACGGCGGGUGCUAACGUCCGUCGUGAAGAGGGAAACAACCCAGACCGCCAGCUAAGGUCCCAAAGUCAUGGUUAAGUGGGAAACGAUGUGGGAAGGCCCAGACAGCCAGGAUGUUGGCUUAGAAGCAGCCAUCAUUUAAAGAAAGCGUAAUAGCUCACUGGUCGAGUCGGCCUGCGCGGAAGAUGUAACGGGGCUAAACCAUGCACCGAAGCUGCGGCAGCGACGCUUAUGCGUUGUUGGGUAGGGGAGCGUUCUGUAAGCCUGCGAAGGUGUGCUGUGAGGCAUGCUGGAGGUAUCAGAAGUGCGAAUGCUGACAUAAGUAACGAUAAAGCGGGUGAAAAGCCCGCUCGCCGGAAGACCAAGGGUUCCUGUCCAACGUUAAUCGGGGCAGGGUGAGUCGACCCCUAAGGCGAGGCCGAAAGGCGUAGUCGAUGGGAAACAGGUUAAUAUUCCUGUACUUGGUGUUACUGCGAAGGGGGGACGGAGAAGGCUAUGUUGGCCGGGCGACGGUUGUCCCGGUUUAAGCGUGUAGGCUGGUUUUCCAGGCAAAUCCGGAAAAUCAAGGCUGAGGCGUGAUGACGAGGCACUACGGUGCUGAAGCAACAAAUGCCCUGCUUCCAGGAAAAGCCUCUAAGCAUCAGGUAACAUCAAAUCGUACCCCAAACCGACACAGGUGGUCAGGUAGAGAAUACCAAGGCGCUUGAGAGAACUCGGGUGAAGGAACUAGGCAAAAUGGUGCCGUAACUUCGGGAGAAGGCACGCUGAUAUGUAGGUGAAGUCCCUCGCGGAUGGAGCUGAAAUCAGUCGAAGAUACCAGCUGGCUGCAACUGUUUAUUAAAAACACAGCACUGUGCAAACACGAAAGUGGACGUAUACGGUGUGACGCCUGCCCGGUGCCGGAAGGUUAAUUGAUGGGGUCAGCGCAAGCGAAGCUCUUGAUCGAAGCCCCGGUAAACGGCGGCCGUAACUAUAACGGUCCUAAGGUAGCGAAAUUCCUUGUCGGGUAAGUUCCGACCUGCACGAAUGGCGUAAUGAUGGCCAGGCUGUCUCCACCCGAGACUCAGUGAAAUUGAACUCGCUGUGAAGAUGCAGUGUACCCGCGGCAAGACGGAAAGACCCCGUGAACCUUUACUAUAGCUUGACACUGAACAUUGAGCCUUGAUGUGUAGGAUAGGUGGGAGGCUUUGAAGUGUGGACGCCAGUCUGCAUGGAGCCGACCUUGAAAUACCACCCUUUAAUGUUUGAUGUUCUAACGUUGACCCGUAAUCCGGGUUGCGGACAGUGUCUGGUGGGUAGUUUGACUGGGGCGGUCUCCUCCUAAAGAGUAACGGAGGAGCACGAAGGUUGGCUAAUCCUGGUCGGACAUCAGGAGGUUAGUGCAAUGGCAUAAGCCAGCUUGACUGCGAGCGUGACGGCGCGAGCAGGUGCGAAAGCAGGUCAUAGUGAUCCGGUGGUUCUGAAUGGAAGGGCCAUCGCUCAACGGAUAAAAGGUACUCCGGGGAUAACAGGCUGAUACCGCCCAAGAGUUCAUAUCGACGGCGGUGUUUGGCACCUCGAUGUCGGCUCAUCACAUCCUGGGGCUGAAGUAGGUCCCAAGGGUAUGGCUGUUCGCCAUUUAAAGUGGUACGCGAGCUGGGUUUAGAACGUCGUGAGACAGUUCGGUCCCUAUCUGCCGUGGGCGCUGGAGAACUGAGGGGGGCUGCUCCUAGUACGAGAGGACCGGAGUGGACGCAUCACUGGUGUUCGGGUUGUCAUGCCAAUGGCACUGCCCGGUAGCUAAAUGCGGAAGAGAUAAGUGCUGAAAGCAUCUAAGCACGAAACUUGCCCCGAGAUGAGUUCUCCCUGAC
rnacentral:rRNA from 1 species